rnacentral:rRNA from 1 species
UAGGGAAUCUUCGGCAAUGGGGGGAACCCUGACCGAGCAACGCCGCGUGAGUGAAGAAGGUUUUCGGAUCGUAAAGCUCUGUUGUUAAGGAAGAACGAGUGUGAGAAUGGAAAGUUCAUGCUGUGACGGUACUUAACCAGAAAGGGACGGCUAACUACGUGCCAGCAGCCGCGGUAAUACGUAGGUCCCGAGCGUUGUCCGGAUUUAUUGGGCGUAAAGCGAGCGCAGGCGGUUAGAAAAGUCUGAAGUGAAAGGCAGUGGCUCAACCAUUGUAGGCUUUGGAAACUGUUUAACUUGAGUGCAGAAGGGGCGAGUGGAAGUCCAUGUGUAGCGGUGAAAUGCGUAGAUAUAUGGAGGAACACCGGUGGCGAAAGCGGCUCUCUGGUCUGUAACUGACGCUGAGGCUCGAAAGCGUGGGGAGCGAACAGG